GGUCAAGUGACUAAGAGCAUGUGGUGGAUGCCUUGGCGAUGAUAGGCGACGAAAGACGUGAUAGCCUGCGAUAAGCUUCGGGGAGCUGGCAAAUAAGCUUUGAUCCGGAGAUUUCUGAAUGGGGAAACCCACCCGCAAGGGUAUCGCAUACUGAAUACAUAGGUAUGCGA
rnacentral:rRNA from 1 species